rnacentral:rRNA from 1 species
GUCCACGCCCUAAACGAUGUCUACUAGUUGUUGGUGGAGUAAAUCCAUGAGUAACGCAGCUAACGCGUGAAGUAGACCGCCUGGGGAGUACGGUCGCAAGAUUAAAACUCAAAGGAAUUGACGGGGGCCCGCACAAGCGGUGGAUUAUGUGGAUUAAUUCGAUGCAACGCGAAAAACCUUACCUGGCCUUGACAUGUAACGAACUUUCCAGAGAUGGAUUGGUGCUCGAAAGAGAACGUUAACACAGGUGCUGCAUGGCUGUCGU